AGUGAACGCUGGCGGUAGGCCUAACACAUGCAAGUCGAACGGCAGCACAGUAAGGGCUUGCUCUUACGGGUGGCGAGUGGCGGACGGGUGAGGAAUACAUCGGAAUCUACUUUUUCGUGGGGGAUAACGUAGGGAAACUUACGCUAAUACCGCAUACGACCUACGGGUGAAAGCAGGGGAUCUUCGGACCUUGCGCGAUUGAAUGAGCCGAUGUCGGAUUAGCUAGUUGGCGGGGUAAAGGCCCACCAAGGCGACGAUCCGUAGCUGGUCUGAGAGGAUGAUCAGCCACACUGGAACUGAGACACGGUCCAGACUCCUACGGGAGGCAGCAGUGGGGAAUAGUGGACAAUGGGCGCAAGCAUGAUCCAGCCAUACCGCGUGGGUGAAGAAGGCGUUCGGGUUGUAAAGACCUUUUGUUGGGAAAGAAAAGCAGCAGGUUAAUACCCAGCUGUUCUGACGGUACCCAAAGAAUAAGCACCGGCUAACUUCGUG
rnacentral:rRNA from 1 species